UACACACACUGUGAAUCAUCGAAUCUUUGAACGCACAUUGCACUGUCCGGAAUCCCGGACAGUAUAUCUGUUUGAGUAUCGUUUCUUUAUCAGUCCUGACAUAUACGCAAGUACUUGUACGGAUUGGAGUUGAGGUAUUAUAUAAUCAUUUAUAUAUGCCUUUAAAUUUAUUAUACGUCCAACUAGAUCAGUCCGCGAGGAACUCUAGUUGCAUCGUACCUUAAAUAAGACUUUUUAGUCUUGAAUUACGAUCUCAAAUCAGAUAAGAUUACCCGCUGAACUUAAGCAUAUCAAUAAGCGGAGG
rnacentral:rRNA from 1 species